rnacentral:rRNA from 1 species
UGAAGAGUUUGAUCAUGGCUCAGAUUGAACGCUGGCGGCAGGCCUAACACAUGCAAGUCGAACGGUAACAGGAAGCAGCUUGCUGCUUUGCUGACGAGUGGCGGACGGGUGAGUAAUGUCUGGGAAACUGCCUGAUGGAGGGGGAUAACUACUGGAAACGGUGGCUAAUACCGCAUAACGUCGCAAGACCAAAGAGGGGGACCUUCGGGCCUCUUGCCAUCAGAUGUGCCCAGAUGGGAUUAGCUUGUUGGUGAGGUAACGGCUCACCAAGGCGACGAUCCCUAGCUGGUCUGAGAGGAUGACCAGCCACACUGGAACUGAGACACGGUCCAGACUCCUACGGGAGGCAGCAGUGGGGAAUAUUGCACAAUGGGCGCAAGCCUGAUGCAGCCAUGCCGCGUGUAUGAAGAAGGCCUUCGGGUUGUAAAGUACUUUCAGCGGGGAGGAAGGUGUUGCGGUUAAUAACCGCAGCAAUUGACGUUACCCGCAGAAGAAGCACCGGCUAACUCCGUGCCAGCAGCCGCGGUAAUACGGAGGGUGCAAGCGUUAAUCGGAAUUACUGGGCGUAAAGCGCACGCAGGCGGUCUGUCAAGUCGGAUGUGAAAUCCCCGGGCUCAACCUGGGAACUGCAUUCGAAACUGGCAGGCUUGAGUCUUGUAGAGGGGGGUAGAAUUCCAGGUGUAGCGGUGAAAUGCGUAGAGAUCUGGAGGAAUACCGGUGGCGAAGGCGGCCCCCUGGACAAAGACUGACGCUCAGGUGCGAAAGCGUGGGGAGCAAACAGGAUUAGAUACCCUGGUAGUCCACGCCGUAAACGAUGUCUACUUGGAGGUUGUGCCCUUGAGGCGUGGCUUCCGGAGCUAACGCGUUAAGUAGACCGCCUGGGGAGUACGGCCGCAAGGUUAAAACUCAAAUGAAUUGACGGGGGCCCGCACAAGCGGUGGAGCAUGUGGUUUAAUUCGAUGCAACGCGAAGAACCUUACCUGGUCUUGACAUCCACAGAACUUUCCAGAGAUGGAUUGGUGCCUUCGGGAAC